rnacentral:lncRNA from 1 species
AUAUGAGUUGAAUUUUUAGGAUAUAAAUAGAAAUUUUAGGAUAUGACUUGAACUUUUGUGGAUAUAAAUUGAACCUUUAGGAUAUAAAUUGAACUUUGAGUUUAUGUUUAAACUCGUAGGAUAAGAAUUGAUGAACUUUUAGUUUUUAGGUUUUGUUCUUGUGAAUUGAACUUGUACGAUGACUUGAACUUUUUACGAUACGAGUUGAAACUUUUAGGAUAUGAGUUGAACUUUUAGGAAAUAAAUUGAACCUUUAGGAUAUGUAUUGAACCUUUAGGAUAUGACUUGAAGUUUUAGUUUAUGUUUAAACUCGUAAGAUAUGAAUAUAACUUUUAGUUUUUAGGUUUUGUUCUUGCGAAUUGAACUUAUAGGAUAUAAAUUGAAGAUUUUAUGUAUGACUUGAACUUUUUAGAAUAUGAAUUGAAACUUUUAGGAUAUGAGUUGAACUUUUGGGAAAUAAAUUGAACCUUUAAGAUAUGUAUUGAACCUUUAGGAUAUGACUUGAAGUUUUAGUUUAUGUUUAAACUCGUAAGAUAUGAAUAUAACUUUUAGUUUUUAGGUUUUGUUCUUGUGAAUUGAACUUGUAGAAUAUAAAUUGAAGCUUUUAUGUAUGACUUGAACUUUUUAGGAUAUGAAUUGAAACUUUUAGGAUAUGAGUUGAACUUUUAAGAAAUAAAUUGAACCUUUAACAUAUGUAUUGAACCUUUAGGAUAUGACAUGAACUUUUAGUUUAUGUUUAAACUCGUAGGAUAUGAAUAUAACUUUUAGUUUUUAGGUUUUGUUCUUGUGAAUUGAACUUGUAUGAUAUAAAUUGAAACUUUUAAGAUAUGAGUUGAAUUUUCAGG